rnacentral:rRNA from 1 species
AUUGAACGCUGGCGGCAGGCCUAACACAUGCAAGUCGGGCGAGAGGCGGACGGGAGUGUAAUGUAUGGGGAUCGGCCUGAUGGAGGGGGAAAACCACUGGAAACGGUAGCUAAUACCGAAUACCAUCAGAUGAACCCAUAUGGGAGUAGCUUGUAGGUGAGGUAACGGCUCACCUAGGCGACGGUCCCUAGCUGGUCUGAGAUGAUGAGCAGCCACACUGGGACUGGUACACGGCCCAGGCUCCUGAGGGCGGCAGGAGUGGGGAAUAUUGCACAAUGGGCGCAAGCCUGAUGCAGCCAGGCCGGGUGUAUGAAGAAGUCCUUCGGGUUGUAAAGUACUUUCAGUCUGGAGGCGUUACCUACAGAAGAAGCACCGGCUAACUCCAUGCCAGCCGCCGCGGUAAUAC